rnacentral:rRNA from 1 species
AACGGGGGCAGGAGGAAACCUGGUGAAUCCUGCCCUAGUGGCGGACGGGUGAGUAACGCGUGGGCAACCUGCCGCAUACCGGGGGAUAACACUUAGAAAUAGGUGCUAAUACCGCAUAAGCGCACAGAGCCGCAUGGCUUGGUGUGAAAAACUCCGGUGGUAUGCGAUGGGCCCGCGUCUGAUUAGCUUGUUGGCGGGGCAGCGGCCCACCAAGGCGACGAUCAGUAGCCGGCCUGAGAGGGUGGACGGCCACAUUGGGACUGAGACACGGCCCAGACUCCUACGGGAGGCAGCAGUGGGGAAUAUUGCACAAUGGGGGGAACCCUGAUGCAGCGACGCCGCGUGAGUGAAGAAGUAUUUCGGUAUGUAAAGCUCUAUCAGCAGGGAAGAAAAUGACGGUACCUGACUAAGAAGCCCCGGCUAACUACGUGCCAGCAGCCGCGGUAAUACGUAGGGGGCAAGCGUUAUCCGGAUUUACUGGGUGUAAAGGGAGCGCAGACGGCUGUGCAAGUCUGGAGUGAAAGGCGGGGGCCCAACCCCCGGACUGCUCUGGAAACUGUAAAGCUGGAGUGCAGGAGAGGUAAGCGGAAUUCCUAGUGUAGCGGUGAAAUGCGUA